GGCAACGUGGAGAGCUAAUCCAAAACGCUAAAAAAAAAAAAACCCCAACUAACUGUAUCUUAGAUUCUUCUUCUUCUUUCUUCCUGAUUGAAAUUCAAUGUGUAAAAGACAUCAACAUCAAGAAGAUGGAGAUGAGAAAGACCCAAUUUAUAAUUUUGGGGAUUGUUUGCUUAUUGGUUCAUAAUUGGGAGAGAGAGAGUGAGAGAGAAUAAUAAUAUAUCUCCCCAUCCUUUAUCUUGCAAAAUACAAAGAGUAUGUGUGUUUGUGUUUUCAUUAAGUUUAGUUUUUUAUUUUAAUCGUCAAACCUUUGUCCAUUUUGCUUUAAUAUUCCAUCUUCUUUCAAUCUCGGAUUUAUUUUUUAUAUUUUAACAUUUAAAUUAAAUUUUUUCUUAAAUUAUCGUUUUUUAUAUUAUGUCAUUCCUCUUUUGUUUUCACUCAAAAAAACUAAACGAUCCUAUAAAUCUUCCUACAAGAUCGUCUAGAUUUAGUAUAAGAUCUUAUACCAAGAUCAUUUAGAUAUUGGUCGUUUAGAUUUAAUACAACAUCGUUUAGAUUUCAAAAUCUUGUACCAAAUCGUUUAGAUGUUGGUACACGGUUUCAUUUACAUCGUUUAGGUAUUGGUCAUUUAGAGUUGGUACAAUAUCGUUUAGAUUUGAUACACGAUUAUUUAAACAACAAUUUAUGGUUUAUUUUGAAGAUUAAGAACUAUUUAAACAACAAUUUAGUCAUGAAACACACUUCCAUAUAAGAUGCUCAUUUGACAUAUCUAAGAAAAAUCACUUCUUACACAGUUCUCUCCAUUUCUUUCUCUCUGUUUUGUUCUCGAGAAAAAAAAAAAAAAAAGAGUGUUUGAUAUUUUGAUUAGUUAUAGUGCAGCUCCGAUUGGGUUUGGCUGUUUUAUCCCUAGGGUUGCAGUGACAUUAUUAGAACUAUUUGUAUUCUGAGCAUAGUCAAUCACGAAAUGUCUUUAAAACAGCGUGAUCCACAUGACUCAGCCUAAUUUUUCUUAACAAGUUUCUGUUUAAUUUUACAGAUUUUGGCCUCAUACCCUAGGCGUUCAAUUCCAGCGCGGUGAACUCCAAACAAUGAGGUAUAGGAAUUCAUCUUCAAUGCGAUGAGCACCAAGCGACGUGAUUUAGAUGAUCAGAUCUAAGUUACUUUAGUUCUGGCGUCUAAACUAUGAAGCAACCAAACUUUCAAGGCGUUCUGUUCUAGGUGUUCAAAUCUAGACACCUUACUCGUUCACAAUACUAGUUCCACCAAUGUAGUAUUUGAAGUAUGAUUUUUUAUAAAUGUAUACAUUAAUUCUAACUUCAAUCAACGUUAACUCUAAACUUAUCAAAUUGUUACCAAUUUUGAAGUAUAAGAAUUAUAUCGUUGCACAUAACAAAUUAAACACUAAAUAAUUACAACAAAAAAAAUGAAAGUAC
rnacentral:lncRNA from 1 species